GCCGGGCAUGGUGGUGCAUGCCUGUAGUCCCAGCUACUCGGGAGGCUGAGAUGGGAGAAUCACCUGAGCCCAGGAAGUUGAGGCUGCAGUGAGCUAUGAUCACACCACUGCACUCCAGCCUGGGCAAUAGGGCGAGACCCUGUCUCAA
rfam:Gorilla gorilla gorilla genomic chromosome, chr21, whole genome shotgun sequence